UUUAUAUAGCGCCAACAGUUUACGCAGCGCUUAAUACAAUACAUAUAUUCAAGGGGUAUGACAAGACAAGAAUUGACAGACUAAGACAAACCGAUACAUUAGGUGGAGAGAGCCCGGCUCACAAGCUUACAAUCUUGAGGCAAUGGGGUGACAAACAUAAGGCACAGAGAAAGGGUGAGAGGUAGUGUGGUGGUUGUAUCAGUGACAGGGAAGUUCUAGCAGCUAAGAUGAUGCGGCUUCUCUGAAGAAGUGGGUUUUUAGAUGUUUCUUGAAUGUCGGGAGGGAGGGUGAAUGCUGAAGGUUCCUUGGGAGUAGAUUCCAGAGAUAAGGGGCAGCCCGAGUGAAAUCUUGUAGACGGGAAAAGGAAGAGGUGAUAAGUGAGGAGGAGAGCCUUAGCCCAUGGGAAGAAUGUAGUGAAAA